rnacentral:rRNA from 1 species
CCUACGGGCGGCAGCAGUAGGGAAUCUUCCACAAUGGGCGAAAGCCUGAUGGAGCAACGCCGCGUGGGUGAAGAAGGUCUUCGGAUCGUAAAACCCUGUUGUUCGAGAAGCAAGUGCGUGAGAGUAACUGUUCACGUUUCGACGGUAUCUAACCAGAAAGCCACGGCUAACUACGUGCCAGCAGCCGCGGUAAUACGUAGGUGGCAAGCGUUAUCCGGAUUUAUUGGGCGUAAAGGGAACGCAGGCGGUCUUUUAAGUCUGAUGUGAAAGCCUUCGGCUUAACCGGAGUAGUGCAUUGGAAACUGGGGGACUGGAGUGCAGAAGAGGAGAGUGGAACUCCAUGUGUAGCGGUGAAAUGCGUAGAUAUAUGGAAGAACACCAGUGGCGAAAGCGGCUCUCUGGUCUGUAACUGACGCUGAGGUUCGAAAGCGUGGGUAGCAAACAGGAUUAGAUACCCGAGUAGUC